rnacentral:rRNA from 1 species
GACGAACGCUGGCGGCGUGCCUAAUACAUGCAAGUCGAACGCUGAAGGAGGAGCUUGCUUCUCUGGAUGAGUUGCGAACGGGUGAGUAACGCGUAGGUAACCUGCCUGGUAGCGGGGGAUAACUAUUGGAAACGAUAGCUAAUACCGCAUAACAGUAGAUAUCGCAUGAUAUCUACUUGAAAGGUGCAGUUGCAUCACUACCAGAUGGACCUGCGUUGUAUUAGCUAGUUGGUGAGGUAACGGCUCACCAAGGCGACGAUACAUAGCCGACCUGAGAGGGGGAUCGGCCACACUGGGACUGAGACACGGCCCAGACUCCUACGGGAGGCAGCAGUAGGGAAUCUUCGGCAAGGGACGGAAGUCUGACCGAGAAACGCCGCGUGAGUGAAGAAGGGUGUCGGAUCGUAAAGCUCGGUUGUAAGAGAAGAACGAGUGUGAGAGUGGAAAGUUCACACUGUGACGGUAUCUUACCAGAAAGGGACGGCUAACUACGUG